AGGCUAAAUAGAAGAUGAAGGGAAGAAAAAUGCCAUUGUGAGGAGCAAAGCUAAGCUUGACCUGGAGGUUCAGAAUUACUCUAUAGAAGACAAACGAUAUGAUGAUUUGGAUGAGAAGUACAGCAGGAAGAGGGACAGAUACAGUGGAGGGGGAGGGCUGAUUCAGGACUUCAAGGAGAAAGAGGGAUAUAAACCGGACGUCAAACUGGAAUACGUGGAUGAUGGAGGUCACCUGCUGAAUCAGAAAGAGGCCUUCAGGCAGCUGUCUCACAGAUUCCACGGGAAAGGCUCUGGUAAAAAGAAAACGGAAAAACGAACGAAAAACUGCAGGAGGAACAGUUGAUGAAGCAGAUGAGUUCCACAGACACGCCUCUUGGUACACUGAACAUGCUUAAAGAUAAGCAGAGAACAGAGAAGUCACCUUACAUUGUCCUGUCUGGCUCCAAAGGUUUCUCAUCAAAUUCCAUCAUUAAACCUAGCCAAACAUUAUUCUAUUGGAAUAUUAAGCAAUUUUUCUAGACUUUGAAUGCAGACAACAUACACGAAGGAGACAUGACCCCAAAAGUUUAACUACAGACAGUA